GACAGAGGAGGCAAGCGUUGUCCGGAGUUACUGGGCGUAAAGCGCACGCAGGCGGCCGCGCGCGUGAGGUGUGAAAGCGCCGGGCUUAACCCGGCGAUGCCAUCUCAUACGGCGCGGCUCGAGCCCGGGAGAGGUCGGUCGAAUUGCCGGUGUAGUGGUGAAAUGCGUAGAGAUCGGCAGGAAGACCCAGGGCGCAAGCAGCCGACUGGCCCGGAGCUGACGCUCAGGUGCGAUAGCGUGGGGAG
rnacentral:rRNA from 1 species